UACGGGGGGGGGCAAGCGUUGUUCGGAAUUACUGGGCGUAAAGGGCUCGUAGGCGGCCAACUAAGUCGGAUGUGAAAUCCCCAGGCUUAACCUGGGAACUGCAUCCGAUACUGGAUGGCUUGAAUCCGGGAGAGGGAUGCAGAAUUCCAGGUGUAGCGGUGAAAUGCGUAGAUAUCUGGAGGAACACCGGUGGCGAAGGCGGCAUCCUGGACCGGUAUUGACGCUGAUGCGCGAAAGCCAGGGGAGCAAACGGG
rnacentral:rRNA from 1 species